rnacentral:tRNA from 1 species
GACAUUUUAACUAUAUUAAGUAUAUAUUUUGAAAAUAUAAAAAAGGUUAGCCUAAAUGUCU